rnacentral:snoRNA from 25 species
AAGGAGUGCAUUGAGUCCUACCGCUCCCCCACUACUGAGCGCGUGGGAGCAUCAACUCUCCGAGA